rnacentral:tRNA from 1 species
CUGAUAGCUCAGUCGGUAGAGCAGCGGACUUUUAAUCCGUUGGUCGCGAGUUCGAGUCUCGCUCAGCC